rnacentral:lncRNA from 1 species
GUGGGCUCUAUCACACCGAUUAAUCCCAAAAAUGCCCCGCUCACGCUUGUUUCGCCCAUUUUUUCUACCUAAAUAGCCACAAAAAAUUAAACGGACCACACUAGGAUGAUCCCCAACCUCCCUGGCAUGCCCCGGUCAAUAUUUGGACCACAGCACGCCCGGACACCGGGCCCACCCCCAAAAUUGUGGGCUAUAGCACACCGAUUUGUCCUUAAAUGCCCCG